rnacentral:lncRNA from 1 species
UUUCAUAAACUGGAAAUUGUUAUUCACAUGCAGACAUUUUUGGUAGAAGCUUAACUCAAAAGGAUUUCAGAAGGAAGUUUUAUCUUUUACGGACGUUAGUUUGAAAAAUUCAUGAACCUCAAUCUCUGCAGUGGUUGAAAAUACCCCCAAGGAAUGAGCAAAGUGGAGACAGUACCCUUCUAGACUCAAUCUGACCCAUGCCAGGGACUCUUAUCAAAUGAGACCUCCAGAAACAUGUACAGGGCACAGGGGUGUCCACCAUUUCUUUGCUCCCUGCUAAGGUCAGAGUCAGAAGCUAUUGGUCUGCACGAUUUUCCCAGUCAUUAAGAAAACUAGGUGGAUGAAGUCCCUAUACAUGCUGCCCUUUUUUAACAAGGAUGUCUUUUCUAGGUGAAAGCAAGUAUUAGGACUUUUACUCCCCGGGAAAAGCGCUUUGUUGAAGACAGCCGCAAGCUGUCCAAAAAGAUCUUAUCAAGAGAUGUGGACCGUGUGAAAAGAAUCACUAUGGCAAUAUGGAAUACAAUGCAGUUCCUUAAAAGCUGCUUCCAGUGGGAAUCCACAUUAAGAAGUACAAUAGCAUUCGCG